AAAUGUGACAGUCCGCCGGUAAAACGCCGCCAUUUCAAAACAAAAAGGCUAGUUUAACCGCGCGGUACUGGAACUAGUCUUGCGUUUUUCAGCACUGUCCCUUAUACCCAGAUGCGUCCAAUGUCCGAGCGACGAGCAGAGACUACGAUCAUUAGGCAUUCCAAGGGUUCACGGAAAAGGUAGAAUAUUGUUUUCGGGCAUACACACUAGAGGUUUUGAAGUGAUCCUUGAGCACCGACACAGCGCGACAGCAGACCACGUGAUGUCCAAGGGCACUCUCCUGAUGCGCAAAAGCUGUAAUGUGCAAAUUACAAGCAAGACUGCUGUCAGCAAAGGCUGUCACAGCGCCGUCGCUAGAGUUUGCUGGAAACUUCAAGGCAUACCGUCUCGGGUCAUCGGUAGCUGAACUUGACUGGUAGUGUGGGACUUGAAAUAGGGGGGAAAUUUCUGUUUUUAGUCUGUGUCUCACAAUUUUGCCCACACGUAGGUUUGAAUACGUUAGAAAUGCUUUGA